ensembl:lncRNA
AUAUACAUGUUAAUUCCCACGAAAGUUUCCACCCCUCUAAAUAUUCCCCAAAUGUGCAACCUACUUACUUCCUCUCUUAAGUCAUUAGGCAAUCCUCUUCCUCGUCCUAACUCAUGACUGUUUGUUUUGCCUUAUGUCCAACUUUGAGAUGUAAUGAAAAGUCUAAAUCCACGUGUUUAUGGUGUUCCUCUGCAGAUCAGAAAGUGGUUCUGUUGUUCCAGGAAGAGGAUAGCCAGCAGAGGGCGCUCAUAGGCCUGAUGGUGGACAAGCUGAGAGAGCACCUCAACAGACACCUGCCUCGUCUGGGGAAGAAGAAGAUCGACGUGCUGGUGGUGAACUAUGUGGCCGCUGGUGUGUGUUCUUAUUCUACAUGACCCAAACACACGUUUCCAUUGUUUUUGCGGUUACACAAGAAAGGCCUGAGACAGACAAGAUUGUAGUUGGAAAUGGCAAUAACCAUUAUCCUCCAACACAUGUACUUCCUCCUGUGGAUGCAAGAUCUACUUCCCACUGUUCACAGCUCAGUUUUGACGUCAGAGAGGGUCUGUACAGUACAUCUACAUAGAUAUCACUGACUAGAAGAAAACCCUGAACCUCACAUGGAAAUGUGCACUCCAUAUCAGGAAGACACAAGCCUUUCCAUAAAGUGUGGUGUGUGUGUGUGUCAGGAUGUAAAUGUGGUAGUGUUUCUUCCUGUAUUGCAGUAAGAGAGAGAGGAGAAGAGGAUGUGAGUGGUCAUGCUUGGUCAGUCACAGUGUGUGUUAGUUGGCUAGCGGUGAGUGGUGUGUGUUCGUGUAGUCGGCUAGCGGUGUGUGUGUGUGUGUGUUGUGUCGGCUACGGUGUGUGUGUGUGUGUGUGUGUCGGUUGUGAAAGUGGCAGUGUAUAAAUAAUCUAGUAACACCUGUUUCUCUUGCUACGUGUUGGCACGGACUACUAUUCAUUUGUAGAGAAAGAGAAAAUAGGAAGUGUUACAGUGUGUGGAACUGUGGAAACAGGAACUGAAUGUGAAACGUUUUAAUAGUGGUUUAUCAUGUAACAUUUGAGUAAAUCAGAUGUUUAAAUUUCGGAGCAUUCAUCCUGACUCCUUUUCUGUGUGUGUUUGGUGUGUUUGGUGUGUUGUUGGUUGGGGGUGUGUGUGUGUGUGUGUGUGUGUGUUUGAGUGUGUGGUGUUUUGAUGGUGUGUGUGUGUGUGGUUUUUGGUGUAUGGGUGUUUGGUGUGUGUGUAGCUGGAGCUGAUCAGACGCAUGCUGGAGUCUGUGUGGCUGAAGUACAAACUAGGCCCUGUUGUGCUGUGCUUGUAAGUUGCUCCCUGUGUGCGUGUGUGCGUGUGUGGUGUGUGUGUGUGUGUUAGUCUUUAGUGUGUGUUUAGUUGGUGUUUUUAGUUAGUGUGUGUUUAGUUUGUUAGUGUGUGUGGUGUUGUUUGUGUUAGUGUGGUGUUUAGUGUGGUGUGUUAUGUUUGUGUUAGUGUUUUAGUUUUGUUAGUGUGUUUAGUUUAUGUUAGUGUGUUUAGUUUGUUUAGUGUGUUGUUUGUGUGUGUUGUGUUUAUGUUUGUGUGUUGUGUGUGUGUUUGUUAGUUUGUGUGGUGUGUGUUUUUUAGUUUGUGUUGUGUGUGUUUAGUUUGUGUUAGUGUGUGUGUUAGUUGUGUGAGUGUGGGUGUGUUAGUUUGUGUUAGUGUUGUGUGUGUUUAGUUUGUUUGUGUGUGUGUGUUUAGUUUGUGUAGUGUGUGUGUGUUUAGUUUGUGUUAGUGUGUGUGUGUUUGUUUGUGUUGUGUGUGUGUGUGUUGUGUUGUGUGUUAGUGUGUGUGUGUGUGUGUAUGCAAGUCCUGUCCCAUUGAUGUUUACUAUCCUCUCUGCUGUAGAAAGCAGCGGGGGAGUCAGCAGAGGGGCCGUGUUUCCGUGAUGUGUCGGAUACUGGAGGCUACAAAGCUCUGUGUCCCCCUCCCUCCUGGUAAGAAGAACCCUGUUAAUCUUCUCAAAAUAACACUGUUUAUUCAUGUAUUUUACUCUGUUCAACCUUCUCGAAUAACCAGGCGUUAAACUUAUUUUAACCUCCCUGUCCAGUGUCUCAAUAUAAACAAGCACUUCAACAGAGCUUAUAGAGAGCCUGCCUCUACAAUA